UCGGGAAUUUUGGGCAAUGGGCGAAAGCCUGACCCAGCAACGCCGCGUGAAGGAUGAAGUAUUUCGGUAUGUAAACUUCGAAAGAAUAGGAAGAAUAAAUGACGGUACUAUUUAUAAGCUCCGGCUAACUACGUGCCAGCAGCCGCGGUAAUACGUAGGGAGCAAGCGUUGUUCGGAUUUACUGGGCGUAAAGGGCGCGUAGGCGGCGCGGUAAGUCACUUGUGAAAUCUCGGAGCUUAACUCAGAACGGCCAAGUGAUACUGCAGUGCUAGAGUGCAGAAAGGGCAAUCGGAAUUCUGAGUGUAGCGGUGAAAUGCGUAGAUAUCAAGAGGAACACCUGAGGCGAAGGCGGGUUGCUAGGCUGACACUGACGCUGAGGCGCGAAAGCCAGGGGAGCAAACG
rnacentral:rRNA from 1 species